rnacentral:rRNA from 1 species
GAUGAACGCUGGCGGCGUGCUUAACACAUGCAAGUCGAGCGAUGAAGUUUCCUUCGGGAAACGGAUUAGCGGCGGACGGGUGAGUAACACGUGGGUAACCUGCCUCAUAGAGUGGAAUAGCCUUCCGAAAGGAAGAUUAAUACCGCAUAAUGUUGAAAGAUGGCAUCAUCAUUCAACCAAAGGAGCAAUCUGCUAUGAGAUGGACCCGCGGCGCAUUAGCUAGUUGGUGGGGUAACGGCCUACCAAGGCGACGAUGCGUAGCCGACCUGAGAGGGUGAUCGGCCACAUGGGGACUGAGACACGGCCCAGACUCCUACGGGAGGCAGCAGUGGGGAAUAUUGCACAAUGGGGGAAACCCUGAUGCAGCAACGCCGCGUGAGUGAUGAAGGUUUUCGGAUCGUAAAGCUCUGUCUUUGGGGAAGAUAAUGACGGUACCCAAGGAGGAAGCCACGGCUAACUACGUGCCAGCCGCCGCCGUAA